CCGGGGGCUGAAGCAUCACAUUUUGCCCUAAAUGGCACGUGAGUGUUUGGGCGGGCAAAUUUAGUUCGAUAACAUCACAAACGAACGGACGGUAGGCGUGAGUUUAAUUGAGUUAAAUUAUUGCAAUUAAAUGUAUUGAUUGAAUUAAAAAGUGCAUUUUUCUCUUUUUGGUAUGUAAAAGGUAAAUUUAGCAUACUGCCUCCUCUCCCCAAAAAAGAGACCCAUUAGCUCAAGUGGAACAAAAAAAAAAGACAGACACUAAUGCAAUGCUAUCAUCCUUUUCGGCGGGGCGUUUCGAGCUUACCGUGCCCAUUACUCCGGACAACGAGAGUGGUGGGGGCCCCUCUUCCGCACCGUAGAUUGACAAUUUAGAUAGCACUUCAACUUCAAACACACCAACAAGUUUGAGCAAAAGAGAGCUAAAAAACCCGAAAUAAAAAUGUCCAACGUGCGUCACCGAAAUCAUCGCACAAGCGCGAGCUAAAAGUGGCCGUUCGACAAGACAAAAUUCGAUGUCGGCGCGGAAAAUGCCACCGAAUAAAGCGGGAAAAUUGAUUGGAUUUAUUGCACAAAAAAGGUUCGUGCCACACUUCCACACGCGGCAUCGUCUGGAUGGGUGGAUGAAUGAAGUUAGCAGAAGGUUUUUCAACGACCCUUUUUGACUUUUUCCGAGGCGUGAGGCCCAAAAAUUACUGGGAUCACGUUAAUAAAGGACGCGACACACUCGCACACAAA